rnacentral:rRNA from 1 species
UCGGACUGUAGUCUGCAACCCGACUACACGAAGCUGGAAUCGCUAGUAAUCGCGAAUCAGAAUGUCGCGGUGAAUACGUUCCCGGGUCUUGUACACACCGCCCGUCACACCAUGGGAGUUGGUAAUGCCCGAAGUCAGUGACCCAACCGCAAGGAGGGAGCUGCCGAAGGCAGGACUGAUAACUGGGGUGAAGUCGUAACAAGGUAGC